UGAAACAAAGAUGGAAAAACACAUCACACAGCAAUUACAAAGAUAUGCUAAUGCUCUGCACCAAGUGGCAGCUACAUGCUUGAGACCAACACUGAAAAUCAGUCAUGGAAUCACUGCAUAUCUGAACAAGGGCCACGAGAGGAGGCACAGAUGGGUCAACUGACUUGAGCAGAGCCACCCAGCAAAUUCAGCGUCGGAGUAUGGUAACUAGAUCUCCUGAUCCAACCAUCCUUCCCUGCACCCUCCCAUCUAGGCUAAUGAGGAGAAAUGUAAUCACGGUGGUAAUUGCAGGCAAAGAUGAGCAUCACUUGGUAAAGCAAUAUGUGUACUUGAGUUGGCCAUAUGGAAAAUCCAGUGCAGGAUAUGGGGGUGAAUGGUCAGUUGCUGUGUGUCAU
rnacentral:lncRNA from 1 species